UACGAAGGGGGCUAGCGUUGUUCGGAAUUACUGGGCGUAGAGCGCGUGUAGGCGGGUCUUUUAAGUCAGGGGUGAAAUGCCAAGGCUCAACCUUGGAACUGCCUUUGAUACUGGAGACCUUGAGUCCGGGAGAGGUGAGUGGAAUUGCGAGUGUAGAGGUGAAAUUCGUAGAUAUUCGCAAGAACACCAGUGGCGAAGGCGGCUCACUGGCCCGGAACUGACGCUGAGAGUGCGAAAACGUGGGGAGCAAACAGG
rnacentral:rRNA from 1 species